UACGUAGGGCGCAAGCGUUGUCCGGAAUUAUUGGGCGUAAAGAGCUCGUAGGCGGUCUGUCGCGUCUGCUGUGAAAUCCCGAGGCUCAACCUCGGGCUUGCAGUGGGUACGGGCAGACUAGAGUGCGGUAGGGGAGAAUGGAAUUCCUGGUGUAGCGGUGGAAUGCGCCAGAUAUCAGGAGGAACACCGAUGGCGAAGCAGUUCUCUGGCCGUAACUGACGCUGAGGAGCGAAAGCGUGGGAGCGAACAGGAUUAGAU
rnacentral:rRNA from 1 species